CAUACAGCUCCAGCUGCAGUCUCCUCUUGGGCUCUCUGCAUACUGGUUCGUUCUUCUAGAGACUCCGGUCAGAUGUCACCUCCUCAGGCAGGCCUUCCCCGACUACCCAUCAUCUCAGUGCCUAUUCUCAUGUCCUCCAUCCUGCACUUCACUGUUUAUUUAUUUUAUUCAAAAAUUAGUUUCAUUGUGGUAAGAAUUGUUAACAUGAGAGCUACCCUCUUAAAUUGUUUACAUAUAGUAUCGUUUUACAUACAUUAUUGUUUACGAUAGGCACAAUUCUGUACUGCAGACCUCCAGAGCUUAUUCAUCUUGCAUAACCGAAACUUCAUACUUGUUGAACAGCAACUCCCCACUUCGCUCUGCCUUUCCCCCCUUGGCAAUCUCCACUCUACUCUUUGCCUCUGUGUGUUUGACAAGUAGUGGAAUCAUGCAGUGUUUGUCGUUUUGCGACUCUGCCCUUCACUCUUUUUAACAACACAUUUUUAAUUUGUUGCAUUAAAAUUAUGAUAAUCUGACACUCUCUUUGUGGUGGAUUUGUUGUUCACUUGUCUUUUCUAACUGGACUGUAAGCCAAGAGCGUAGUAAGCCUUGUCUGUUUCACUCGCUGCUGUGUCCCCAGCACCUGGAGAAGAGAGAGGUGCUGCACAUGGGAGGAAGAUAAUACUUUUUUUUUUUUUGAAGGAAUGAAUGAAGAGCUGAAUUUUCAUGUUCUUGAGAAGCCUGGAGCUCAAGGCAGUCAUAUCUGGGGCUGUCAAAAAUAGAUCAGGAAGUUCUCUCAGUUCUUUGUACCUUUAUUGCAUCAAGGUGUUAAUACUGCUUCUCAGGUACUGUUUGUUAACUAACUCAACCACUGAUGCUUAGGAAGUAGAAAAGGAGAUACCAAAUAACUGUUUCAGAUUAAGCCCUUUUAGUGGGAACAUGGAAGGAUGUUCCAUACCAUUCAAGCUCGCUGUCUCCUUUACCUAUUUCAGGUGUGUCCAAGCUCAGCUGGGAAUGGAAACUGCUUUGCAAUUCUUUAAAAUCUUGAAGCCAUAGAAUUGGGGAUAGUGCAGGAAGAAUAUCACAAAACUUUGAUGUUAGAACUGGAAAGUGUGCUUUGAGAAGACUGCGUUGGAAUGCUUGGACUGCAUAAAAAUAUCAAGGUCCUCAAAAAGACUACAGCAUGGAUUUGAUAUUGAAAUGAAAAAUUACCAUGUGAGCAGCAAGGCACGGAAAUAGAGCAGUGGGACUUUCUUUUGAUAUUAGUGAAGCAGGUAUGUGUGGUUGGAGGAAUGAACACAAUAUCACAUAGUUUUCACAAAGCAACAACCAAAGUGCUUUCUGGAACCUGUGAUAGGAAGAGCCAUCCCUUAAGUAGAAGAAACUGUUAGUAAGAUCCACAAAAGGGUUGGUCAUCACAACCAGAAACUGCUGGCACAUCUUGUAUGGAUGAAAGAAACAUCAAAGCAACCAGAGGCUUGCAUGACUGUGGAGGGCAAUGGUUAAGGCAUUGUGUCCUAUGGUUUGAAGGACAGUGUUUGCCCUUUCUCGGGGUGGCACAUAAUAUAAGAUGUGUCCCAGAAUCAAUGGAAUCAAUUACAAAUGUGAGCUUGCAACAUUCAGGGAGCUACUACCAUUAUUACAGGAAAAGGAACACAGACCCAAGGCCCCCUUUGCUGGUGGGCCUGUUCUUGGGAGAUUCAGUACUGAGUUGGCACAUAGUUGACCAGGCACCAUGAUAGAAAGGAGCAUCCACUUGUCCUAAGGACUCUAACAAACAGGAGAUAGGACAGGUGUCAGGAGUAUGGAGGAAAAUAGAACAAGUCUUGAGAACCUGUCCCUCUUUCCAACGUAAGAAUAUAAGAUGGACAAAGGAUUUGAAAAAAUAAAAGUAUAGUUCUUUAUUUAAAGAAAGAGUUUGCAAUGUGGAGGUGCUUCUUAUAAAACUGCAAGAACUAAAACCAGAUUUUUAAAAAGCCCAUCAGUUUCAACACCCUACAACAAAUAUGUUUUAAAAUAAAAUUGACUAGUAAAUAUUUUGUCUCCAAGAUUAUAUCUUUAAAUUUACCAAGCAUGAUUAUUCUAUAAGCAUAUUAAAUUCUAUAUAAUCAAUUAUUAAUGUCCCUAGAAUAACAAAAUUACUUCAGAUUAAUAAAAGUACCAGAAAUUUAAAUAUUGCAUAUAUGUACAUUUCUGCCAAAUUUUUAUUAACAAACAGGCCAUGAAUAAAAAGAAUGUAUAUAAACUUGUUUUCUUAUCCAUCCCACCCAAUCCCCACCUUAACUAUCCUCAGACAUGGAAAAAAUUCUAGACAUUUUAGAUUUUUAAUUCUCCAUCAUGUUUAUGGUAGUUCUCAAUCUGGAACUCAUAGGCAGAGUUUUAUGAAUGGUUCCAGGGAACCUGUGUACCCCAAAACUUAUGUGAAAAAUCUUGAGUAAUAUGUGCUUUUUGGUGGUAUUGGGGAGAGGGAUUCUGGUUGUCAUCUACUUUCUAAAAGUAUCCAUAUUUUAAAGAAUGAAGAGUCCAUGCGCCACUGGUGAGCAUUUUGGGCCCAUUGUGACCUCGCCUUCGGCCCCUUCCAGACAGUGGGCACUUUGGGGGCUGUGCUUUUCCAAACCCCUGACCCCGCCGAGGCUGUGUGCAUCAAAGACCUGAAGAAGAGAACGUCGAAGGCGGCAGUUUCUGUAGGCUCCCAUCUUGGAGGAGACAGAGUGGUCCAGCGGAAGAACUAGACCUGGGAGUCCUAAAUCAUUCAUUCAUUCAUUCACUUAAAUACUUGGUUGCUUACCAUGUGCUGAGUACUGUUUGUUGCUGGGAUUCAAGGGUGAACAAGGCGUGGUCCAUGCCUUCAUGGAGCCUUCGUGCUAGUCAGAGUGAAAGAUGUUAAAAAUUGUUCUAAGGCUUCUACACGAGAGGGGAUUGGGAUUUCAGUCUGGUUUUAAGAGAGAAGGGGAGUGGCAAAGAGACUUGUCUUGAAGGUGAUACUGCAAAAUGACUUGUCUCCUCUCACAUUAACUGUUUAUUUGGGGUGGACAGUGAGAAAGAGCUGAUAGAGAUUGUAAAGUGGUCAAAGAUGCUCCCCCCCACACAACAUAACAGCAAGCCUCCCCUCGGUGCCAAUAUCGGAGAGUAAACAAAUCAUUAUCUAACUCAUUUAAUUAACCUAUCAAUCAAUUAAUUGAUUAGUUAAUGACAGAUGUAAGUGCUAAGAGCUAUGGGACUGUGGGAUCUCAUAAAAGGACACCCAACCUGGGGUAGGGCAUGAGGCAGAGAUUUCUUAAAUAAGCAACUUUUAAACCGAGACCAGAAAUAAGUGUCAAGAAUGGUCGUGGAAUGAGGGCAUGUUGGGGCUGUGGUGGCUGAAGCCAGGCAACAUGAGGGAGAGUGUCACAAUGAGGUUAGAAGGAUUUUUUUUUUCCUACUUGUUACAUGAUCUUGAGUAAGUUUUCAAAUUUCCCCAUCUGUAAAAUGGGGGCAGAGCCAACUUGAAAAGGCUGCAACAAGGAUUAAAAGUUGCCUUGUAAAAUGUAGCUUUGCAAAAAAUUAUUGUGAGUGCUCAGUGUCUGAUAACUCGUAUCUUCCUCACUUGAAAAAUGAUAGCACAAUUCAUAAUUGCAAGGC